GCUGUGCCUCGAGGAUUAGUUUAAACAGCGGGCUAUAAAAGAUGUAACAGAUGCAAACUGUAACACAAGGGCCAUUAACCCUUUCUCUGCCGCCCAGCACGCCCAGUCCCUACACCCUGCACCUAUUGUCUCCGGUGCCACAAGCUUUGCGGAAAACCUGGAAAUUUUGGCCAGAAAUGGUGAGAAGAAAAAGCAUGAAGAAGCCGCGAAGUGUGGGGGAGAAAAAGGUGGAGGCGAAGAAACAGCUCCCGGAGCAAACUGAACAAAACCUCGCCAAGAGUGUCGGGAGGCAGGACCGUUAUUCCUGCCGAGCAGGGGAGAGAAGAGAGACCCUGAAACACGCGCCACCUAUCUUUGUGGGGAGGGAUAAUUGAAGCGCCCUGAGCGUGAGCAUCAUGUGAAAACGUGAUCGCCAAGUUUCUCUCUGGGAAAGGAUCUGGGAUAGAUUAUACCUUGAAGUCUCCGCAAACGCUUUAGUGGAAGAAAUGAAAUUCCACCUCCCUCCCUUCCUCCCUCCCCCCCCCCCCCCCUCCCCCACCCCCCCCCACCCCCCCCCCCCCGUCAAGUCUUUGGCAUCAUUAUCCUCAUCACUAAAUCCUUCAGAGUACUGGGCGGAAAACGGUGCACACCAUUCACAGAACUGGAGAACUCCGAGGGGCGAAAGUUAAAGGGAAAGAUCUUGGAUCUUCCAUGCAGAUCUCUUUUCUUACACAGAUAUCUCUGGUGACUAGGCUUGAGGUGCUCAUCAAGUUGUAUGGAUAUCUCAAGCACCGUUUUUUUUUUUGGGAACUAAAUUCUUGCCCUUCUAUUAUUAUUAUUAUUAUUAUUAUUAUUAUUAUUAUUAUUAUUAUUAUUAUUAUUUUAAAGAUGCCAGAGCUAGGGGAGGAAAAUAGUACUUAUGCACUGCAACUUAGGAUCUCUCUCUCUCUCUCUCUCUCUCUCUCUGUGUGUGUGUGUGUGUGUGCGCGCGCGCGCGAGCGUGUGGAGAGGGGGGGCUUCUGGAUUGGAUCCCUAUAUUAAAAGUACUUUGGCAUUUUAAUAAAGGGUCUCUAGAUUAACACAGAAGUUCACUAUGUUGGCUAACCUUUGGAUCUCUCUACAUGUCAUGCAGACCACACUACUAAGUCAGGGGUUGGGGACAGGAGGAGGAAGGAGAAAGGCUAGAGGAGCUUAGGACUAAAGAAAGAAGAUGGUGACAUUAAACUGUGUGGGGUCUAAGUUUUGAAGUGCAUAUUUUUUGAUAUUGCAAUUAAAGUAAAAUUAAAAAGAAAA
rnacentral:lncRNA from 1 species